UACGGAGGGAGCAAGCGUUACUCGGAAUUAUUGGGCGUAAAGGGCGCGUAGGCGAUUUGAAAAGUCUUGUGUGAAAGCCCCGAGCUUAACUCGGGAAGUGCACAAGAAACUGUUGAAUUUGAGUUCCGGAGAGGAAGGCAGAAUUCCCGGUGUAGCGGUGAAAUGCGUAGAUAUCGGGAGGAAUACCAGUGGCGAAGGCGGCCUUCUGGACAGUGACUGACGCUGAGACGCGAAAGCGUGGGGAGCAAACAGG
rnacentral:rRNA from 1 species